CAGGACCUCUCCCAUCAAGGCACUAAUCUGAUUCACCUCAUCUGAGGAAUAAACCUUGAGCAGGGACUGCAAGUGCCUGGCUGGGUUUCAGAGAAGAAAGCAGAGCUUUAGCAGUCCUGCCCAACAUUCUAGUGCUUCUUUGCUUCCCAUCACUGACUCAAAGCAAAGUAAAAAAGGUUGAAGUACUUUCUUCAAGAUUUAGUCUCUGCUUGCUGUGAUUUUUCUCAUUAUUCAAGAUCUUAUUUUAUUAUUUGGACAAUAAAGAACUGUCUGAAUCAUCCAGCUCUUCUAAAGCUGCCUCUUAUGCUCCUGUGCCUCAUUUUUCAGGAGAUGGUGGGCAUCAG